GCAUUGCUAGCUUAAUUGGUAGAGCGUGAGACUUUUAAUCUCAAGGUUGCAGGUUUGACCUCUGCGUGAGGCU
rnacentral:tRNA from 1 species